rnacentral:rRNA from 1 species
UACGAAGGGUGCAAACGUUGCUCGGAAUUAUUGGGCGUAAAGCGCACGUAGGCGGCGCAGCAAGUCAGGGGUGAAAUCCCGGGGCUCAACCCCGGAACUGCCCUUGAAACUGCAGUGCUAGAAUUCUGGAGAGGGUAGCGGAAUUCACGGUGUAGCAGUGAAAUGCGUAGAUAUCGUGAGGAACACCAGAGGCGAAGGCGGCUACCUGGACAAUUGCUGACGCUCAGGCACGAAAGCGUGGGGAGCAAAAGGG